GCAAUGCAGUUUGCUUGUACACGUCGCGCCGCCUAGCAGCGGUGAUUAGAACCCACGGGGCGGCCCUUCGCGCCAUUCCACCGUUGUGCGCAUUGCGAACAGGCGCAAUGGAUUUACCGCAGCCCGUUGACAACUCCGUCGUCAGAGGUGGAAAAAAAAAGAACAAACGCAGAUACUGCUGCGUUAAAGAUUGCCACAAUAAAGAAGGGGAUGUCGGCAUCAUGAUGUAUCGCUUCCCAUCGAGACCGUGGGAAGCAACUCGGUGGCAGAAGUGGAUCGCAGCUGUUCGGCGCGUCAAUGCCGAUGACCUGUCAUCUUGGCAACCGAACGAGAAUACCAGGAUAUGCUCGAGGCAUUUCGUCAACGGCGAAAAAAGCACCAUCGAGCAUCAUCCUGGUUACCUUCCUACAAUAUUUCCUCCUGUAUACAAGAGGCGGUCGACAGCUCCUGCUCAACAGCUUUCGAGGUU